GGCGAAGUGGCGCAAUGGUAGCGUGUGGUCCUCCUACUCGCCCUCUUCAUUGGAAGCAGAGGAGGUUCAGACUGAGGUUGUGGGUUCGACUCCCAUCUUCGUCG